CCAUCUCCCAGGAUAUCUAGUUAGGCUGUCAUCUUAUUUAUUUAUCAAAUCACACCCCUUUCCUAUUUUUUCUUAGUCUUCGUCACCAAAUCAAACAUAAAUACAUAAAUAAGUAAACAUGCAUCCGACAAUGCAAUCAUAUCUUAGAUCCCAAAAUCAAACAGUGGUCAAGUAAGGCAGUAAUACAUGCUUUUAAACCAUACAAUAUAUAAACUAGAAACCAUCAUUCUUUUAAACUACAAGAUCAAUCAACAAAAAUCAAUAGAGAACAAUGUUCGGUUCGGGCUCCAUUAGCAAUCCGUAAUUAAUUAUGCACAUCUAUUUGAUUUGUACAAAAUACAGUAUCAUCAUUUAUUCAAAUGUCAAUUCCAUGACAGGAAAAAGGGUUAGGGGUCCUUACUUGAUUUGACACUGAAAAGCUAAAUAGCUUACUGCGCCUACAGGUGGUCUCUAGUUUCAUGAAUUUUUCUUCAGGAACUGAAAUGCGUUUCCGGUACCUAUAAAUGUCCCAAAUAACCCAAAAAUUAGACCUAGGGCCUACUUGGCCAAUUUCAAAAAUCCAGCAGGGCGGCACUGCCGCUUGCAG
rnacentral:lncRNA from 1 species